rnacentral:rRNA from 1 species
AGCAGCCGCGGUAAUUCCAGCUCCAAUAGCGUAUAUUAAAGUUGUUGCAGUUAAAAAGCUCGUAGUUGAAUUUCGAGAUCAAAUUGUUGGUCGUGCCUCGGUACGUACUGGCAUUAUUGAUUUCUCCCUUCUGAAGAACCACGAUGUCAUUAAUUUGGUGUCGUGGGGAAUCAGGACUGUUACUUUGAAAAAAUUAGAGUGUUUAAAGCAGGCUCACGCUUGAAUACAUUAGCAUGGAAUAAUGAAAUAGGACGUUUGAUUCUAUUUUGUUGGUUUCUAGGAUCGACGUAAUGAUUAAUAGGGAUAGUUGGGGGCAUUAGUAUUCAAUUGUCAGAGGUGAAAUUCUUGGAUUUAUUGAAGACUAACUACUGCGAAAGCAUUUGCCAAGGAUGUUUUCAUUAAUCAAGAACGAAAGUUAGGGGAUCGAAGACGAUCAGAUACCGUCG